ACGUAGGGUGCGAGCGUUGUCCGGAAUUACUGGGCGUAAAGAGCUCGUAGGCGGUUUGUCGCGUCGUCUGUGAAAACCAGCAGCUCAACUGCUGGCUUGCAGGCGAUACGGGCAGACUUGAGUACUGCAGGGGAGACUGGAAUUCCUGGUGUAGCGGUGAAAUGCGCAGAUAUCAGGAGGAACACCGGUGGCGAAGGCGGGUCUCUGGGCAGUAACUGACGCUGAGGAGCGAAAGCGUGGGUAGCGAACAGGA
rnacentral:rRNA from 1 species